rnacentral:guide_RNA from 1 species
AUCCAAACAAAGUUAUAUAGAUAAAGUGUGACAUGUGAUAUAUU